rnacentral:rRNA from 1 species
CAGUGAAUCAUCGAGUCUUUGAACGCACAUUGCGCCCCCUGGUAUUCCGGGGGGCAUGCCUGUCCGAGCGUCA